UACAGAGGUGGCAAGCGUUGUUCGGAAUUACUGGGCGUAAAGGGUGCGUAGGCGGCGGAGUAAGUUGGGUGUGAAAUCCCGGGGCUCAACCUCGGAAUGGCAUUCAAUACUGCUUCGCUAGAGUACUGGAGAGGAGGCUGGAAUUUACGGUGUAGCAGUGAAAUGCGUAGAUAUCGUAAGGAAGGCCGGUGGCGAAAGCGAGCCUCUGGACAGUUACUGACGCUGAUGCACGAAGGCCAGGGGAGCAAACGGG
rnacentral:rRNA from 1 species